GACGAACGCUGGCGGCGUGCUUAACACAUGCAAGUCGAACGGAAAGGCCCUGCUUUUGUGGGGUGCUCGAGUGGCGAACGGGUGAGUAACACGUGAGUAACCUGCCCUUGACUUUGGGAUAACUUCAGGAAACUGGGGCUAAUACCGGAUAGGAGCUCCUGCUGCAUGGUGGGGGUUGGAAAGUUUCGGCGGUUGGGGAUGGACUCGCGGCUUAUCAGCUUGUUGGUGGGGUAGUGGCUUACCAAGGCUUUGCCGGGUAGCCGGCCUGAGAGGUUGACCGGCCACAUUGGGACUGAGAUACGGCCCAGACUCCUACGGGAGGCAGCAGUGGGGAAUAUUGCACAAUGGGCGGAAGCCUGAUGCAGCAACGCCGCGUGCGGGAUGACGGCCUUCGGGUUGUAAACCGCUUUCGCCUGUGACGAAGCGUGAGUGACGGUAAUGGGUAAAGAAGCACCGGCUAACUACGUG
rnacentral:rRNA from 1 species